rnacentral:rRNA from 1 species
AGUGAACGCUGGCGGUAGGCCUAACACAUGCAAGUCGGACGGCAGCACAGUAAGAGCUUGCUCUUACGGGUGGCGAGUGGCGGACGGGUGAGGAAUACAUCGGAAUCUACUUUUUCGUGGGGGAUAACGUAGGGAAACUUACGCUAAUACCGCAUACGACCUACGGGUGAAAGCAGGGGAUCUUCGGACCUUGCGCGAUUGAAUGAGCCGAUGUCGGAUUAGCUAGUUGGCGGGGUAAAGGCCCACCAAGGCGACGAUCCGUAGCUGGUCUGAGAGGAUGAUCAGCCACACUGGAACUGAGACACGGUCCAGACUCCUACGGGAGGCAGCAGUGGGGAAUAUUGGACAAUGGGCGCAAGCCUGAUCCAGCCAUACCGCGUGGGUGAAGAAGGCCUUCGGGUUGUAAAGCCCUUUUGUUGGGAAAGAAAAGCAGCAGGUUAAUACCCCGCUGCUCUGACGGUACCCAAAGAAUAAGCACCGGCUAACUUCGUG